rnacentral:sRNA from 1 species
GGAAUCUCGGCGCUCCCGGAAGUGGCCCGGCGGCUGUGCGCCAGUCCCGAGCAGUGCUCGCUCCUGCUCGGGGCGCUGCGGCCCCGGGCGUCGCCAUGACCAGCGAGCUGGACAUCUUCGUGGGGAACACGACACUUAUCGACGAGGACGUGUAUCGCCUCUGGCUCGAUGGUUACUCGGUGACCGACGCGGUGGCCCUGCGGGUGCGCUCGGGAAUCCUGGAGCAGACGGGCGCCACGGCAGCGGUGCUGCAGAGCGACACCAUGGACCAUUACCGCACCUUCCACAUGCUCGAGCGGCUGCUGCACGCGCCGCCCAAGCUACUGCACCAGCUCAUCUUCCAGAUUCCGCCCUCCCGGCAGGCACUACUCAUCGAGAGGUACUAUGCCUUUGAUGAGGCCUUUGUUCGGGAGGUGCUGGGCAAGAAGCUGUCCAAAGGCACCAAGAAAGACCUGGAUGACAUCAGCACCAAAACAGGCAUCACCCUCAAGAGCUGCCGGAGACAGGUAGGCACUGCACCCACACGGACACAGCAUCCCAUCUACACUUCACUCCCUCCCUUUGGCCACUGGUCCAGCUCCAGCCUCUGAUUGUGGCAGCAGCUUCAUACCUAGUCUUCUCCUCCCUUCCCCUUUCCCCUCCUUUUUUUUUUUUUUUUUUUUUCCAAGAUGGAGUCUUGCUCUGUGGCCCAGGCUGGAGUGCAGUGGCGUGACCUUGGCUCACUGCAACCUCCGCCUCCUGGGUUCAGGUGAUUCUUGUGCCUCAGCCUCUGCAGUAGCUGAGAUUACAGACGCCCGCCCCCACACCCGGCUAAUUUUUGUAUUGUUAGUAGAGACAGGGUUUCACCAUGUUGGCCGGGCUUGUCUUGAACUCCUGGCCUCAAGUGAUCAUCCGCCUCGGCCUCCCAAAGUGCUGAGAUUACAGGCGUGAGCCACCGUGCCUGGCUCCUUGUUGUGCCUUCCAAGCUAUCCUGUACCGUAUGGCCAGAGUGACCUUUCAGAAUGACCUGAAAGUUUAUCAGACCCCUGAUAAACUUUCAUUGGCUCCCACUGCCUCCUGGGUAGCAGCUGCACUCCUUGGCUUUGACCUAUGGGCUGUCCUGUGAUCUCAUCCCUGCAGACCUCUCUAGGCUUACGUUUCUCCAGCCCCAGGCUUUCCUUUACUCAUGUUGCUUCUACCUGGAGGGUACUGUUCUUGGCAAUAUCUACCCCUUGAAAUCCAAGACAGGAGGUGAGAUGCCACCUUCUCCACAAGCCUUUUUGGUACGCCAGGAAGAAGUAACCCUUCUGGGUCUUUGAUGCCUUUCUUUUGUAUCUCCUGUGCGCUUUCUGUUUAUAGCUUAGCAUUUGUUUUUUAUUUUUUAGUUCCUAGGGCUUAGCCAGG